rnacentral:rRNA from 1 species
ACGAACGCUGGCGGCGUGCCUAAUACAUGCAAGUAGAACGCUGAAGAGAGGAGCUUGCUCUUCUUGGAUGAGUUGCGAACGGGUGAGUAACGCGUAGGUAACCUGCCUUGUAGCGGGGGAUAACUAUUGGAAACGAUAGCUAAUACCGCAUAACAAUGGAUGACACAUGUCAUUUAUUUGAAAGGGGCAAUUGUUCCACUACAAGAUGGACCUGCGUUGUAUUAGCUAGUAGGUGAGGUAAUGGCUCACCUAGGCGACGAUACAUAGCCGACCUGAGAGGGUGAUCGGCCACACUGGGACUGAGACACGGCCCAGACUCCUACGGGAGGCAGCAGUAGGGAAUCUUCGGCAAUGGGGGCAACCCUGACCGAGCAACGCCGCGUGAGUGAAGAAGGUUUUCGGAUCGUAAAGCUCUGUUGUAAGUCAAGAACGGGUGUGAGAGUGGAAAGUUCACACUGUGACGGUAGCUUACCAGAAAGGGACGGCUAACUACGUGCCAGCAGCCGCGGUAAUACGUAGGUCCCGAGCGUUGUCCGGAUUUAUUGGGCGUAAAGCGAGCGCAGGCGGUUUGAUAAGUCUGAAGUUAAAGGCUGUGGCUCAACCAUAGUUCGCUUUGGAAACUGUCAAACUUGAGUGCAGAAGGGGAGAGUGGAAUUCCAUGUGUAGCGGUGAAAUGCGUAGAUAUAUGGAGGAACACCGGUGGCGAAAGCGGCUCUCUGGUCUGUAACUGACGCUGAGGCUCGAAAGCGUGGGGAGCGAACAGGAUUAGAUACCCUGGUAGUCCACGCCGUAAACGAUGAGUGCUAGGUGUUGGAUCCUUUCCGCGCUUCAGUGCCGCAGCUAACUCAUUAAGCACUCCGCCUGGGGAGUACGACCGCAAGGUUGAAACUCAAAGGAAUUGACGGGGGCCCGCACAAGCGGUGGAGCAUGUGAUUUAAUUCGAAGCAACGCGAAGAACCUUACCAGGUCUUGACAUCCCGAUGCUAUUUCUAGAGAUAGAAAGUUACUUCGGUACAUCGGUGACAGGUGGUGCAUGGUUGUCGUCAGCUCGUGUCGUGAGAUGUUGGGUUAAGUCCCGCAACGAGCGCAACCCCUAUUGUUAGUUGCCAUCAUUCAGUUGGGCACUCUAGCGAGACUGCCGGUAAUAAACCGGAGGAAGGUGGGGAUGACGUCAAAUCAUCAUGCCCCUUAUGACCUGGGCUACACACGUGCUACAAUGGUUGGUACAACGAGUUGCGAGUCGGUGACGGCGAGCUAAUCUCUUAAAGCCAAUCUCAGUUCGGAUUGUAGGCUGCAACUCGCCUACAUGAAGUCGGAAUCGCUAGUAAUCGCGGAUCAGCACGCCGCGGUGAAUACGUUCCCGGGCCUUGUACACACCGCCCGUCACACCACGAGAGUUUGUAACACCCGAAGUCGGUGAGGUAACCUUUUGGAGCCAGCCGCCUAAGGUGGGACAGAUGAUUGGGGUG